GUUCCUAUUAGCCAGCUUUUUUGAUCGAGUUGAUCAAUAGAACAGUUGCAUGGUAACAUUGUGUUGUUGUAUAGGGAUCUUUUUCUUAUGAACUUGGAUGCCCAGGAGUGGGUUGAGGGCCGAUUGAAGACUGAUCUGAAUACCAUUAACCCACGAGAACACAACUCUUUUAAAAUUUUGAAUCCAAAGAUAACUGUCAUUGUUGCUCUUGAUCUCUUUGCCUGAGAUUGGAUCGUUGAGGUAGAG
rnacentral:lncRNA from 1 species